AGCGGUAGGAGAGUAUUGUACUCUGCGAUGAAGCGGAAGGCGUGAGCCACCGUGGAGCGUGUACAAGUAAGAAUGUUGGCACAAGUAACCGCAAGACAGGUGAAAUCCCUGUCCGCCGAAAGACUAAGGUUUCCGCUGCAACGACAAUCGACAGCGGGUUAGUCGGGCCUAAGGAGAUGGCGAUAGCCGCAUCCGAUGGACACAUGGUUAAUAUUCCAUGACUUUAUUGCAAGCGAUGGAGGGACGGAGAACAUAAUUCCCCACGCAUUAUUGGAUUUGACGCUCGUACUGGUAGAGAGGAUAUUUAGGAAAAUCCGGAUAUCACAUACUCUCGAAAGAGCGACGACUGGAGCCCUCGGGUUCCAGAAGGGGGAAGAAUAGUCUUCCAAGAAAAUCUUCUAGCAUUCAAUUGCAAUGAAUCCGUACCGUAAACCGACACAGGUAGUCAGGUCGAGUAGACCAAGGCGAACGAGUGAGUAAUCCUCAAGGAACUCGGCAAAAAAGCAGCCGUAACUUUGGAAUAAGGCUUGCCCAUGUUUAACUACAUGGGCCGCAGCGAAAGUAUCUCUGGCGACUGUUUAUCAAAAACACAGCUCCCUGCGAAAUCGUAAGAUGAUGUAUAGGGGGUGACACCUGACCAAUGCCAGAAGGUUAAAUAUCGGUGGUGUACAACAUCCAGCGCGUGAUCAAUUGAUCGUGCAUUGAAUGUUGUAUGCUGGCUGAUAUAAGCCCUGGUGAAUGUCGGCCGUAACUAUAACGGUCCUAAGGUAGCGAAAUACCUUGUCGGGUAAAUUCCGACGCGCACGAAUGGUGUAACGACUGGAGAACUGUCUCGAGGAUUAGCUCGGUGAAAAUACAAUACCGGUGAAGAUGCCGGUUACCUGCAGUUAGACGAAAAGACCCCGGGAGCUUUACUAUAGCUUCACAUUGGGCAUGUUGAUAUUGUGCGUAGAAUAGGUGGGAGAGGUUAUGCGUAUGGUUUCGGUCAUACGAUACUCGUCAGUGAAAUACCACUCUCAAUAUUGGCUUGUCCUAACCUGUACGAAAAAACGUACAGAGACAGUGUGUGGUGGGUAGUUUGUUUGGGGCGAAUCCCUCCUAAAUUGUAACGGAGGGGCCUAUAAAGGUCAGCUAGGCGUGAAUGGAAACCAUGCCGAUAGUGUAAUGGCACAAGCUGGCUUGACUGCAAGACGUACAUGUCGAGCAGGUGCGAAAGCAGAGCAUAGUGAACCGACCUAACGCUUUAGAUGCGUGGGAAGAUCAACGGAUAAAAGCUACCCCGGGGAUAACAGGCUAGUAUCGCCCGAGCGUCCAUAGCGACGGCGGUGUUCGGCACCUCGAUGUCGGCUCAUCUUAUCCUGGGGCUGGAGAAGGUCCCAAGGGUUUGGCUGUUCGCCAAUUAAAAAGAUACGCGAGCUGGGUUCAGACCGUUUAGGA
rnacentral:rRNA from 1 species